GCUUUAUAUAUAAAUUUAAUUUUGUUGAAUUAAGAUAAUAAUAAUAAAGUUAAGUUAUUAUAUUGUGUUGGGGUGACAUGGAUAUAAAUUUAUUUAACUGUUCAAAAAUAUAAACAUGGAUUUAUGAGUAUUAAUAAGUGAUCCUUUAUAAAGAUUUAAGACUAAGUU
rnacentral:rRNA from 1 species